UGUCUGUCUCUCUGCCUCCUCCUUUGUCUCAGGAAUUUCACCUGCCGAAGUGACAGGACAGCGGGGUCACGGGAAGAGUUUAAAGGAGGAAGGUCUCUCCGUGACAUGGCUGCUCUUCCUUAUUUUUCUUGUUUUCCCUUGGCCUUGGCCAGUGACGUCGUGGGGGAGGCGCAGCUCAGGAGGUGGCCGUGCCUCAACACCGCGUCCACGUAGACACAUCCUCACGACCGUCCCCCUGCCGACGGCCACGUGCCGGUGUGGACACGUGGCUGGGGCCGGUCCCCCAGGCCGGCUGAUGCAGACAGUACACAUAGUCACCUGUGCGACUGUGUCCCCGACGGAGCUGGCCCAGGGGACAUCAGCACUGGUGGGGGUCCCCUGCCCCAGGCUUUGGGGGAACAGCCCGGCAGAGCCUCCCCACCGGGCCUGGAAGGCACAGAACCGCACACGGAGAUCCGCACCCGAGCCAGGCCGGUGUCGCGAAGGCGGGUCCCAGCCGCGCUCCUGCACAGUGCGCGGCGCCUGUUUUAGCAGAAGGUGACAUUGAACCUGGCUCCUGCAGGGGCCAAAGGCCCCGGGGGCUAUCUUUGCCCAGACGCGGUUUCUCAGGCCACAUGUCAGCAUUUCUCAUGUGGAGCAACCCCCUCAUCCCGGCUUCGAGGAGCUUCUGGAAAAUGCACCGCCAAGCACUGCUGGUGAGAAUGUAAACGGUGUCGCCGCGGUGGAAGUAGCGUGGCGGUCCCGCAGAAAACUAGAAAUGGACCCACGUGUGCUGGCCAGCCCGCCUCUCGGUACAGCCCCUGAAAGUGAGGCUCAGAGAGAUCCUUGCACACCCAUGUUUACAGCAGCAUUGUUCACAACCGCCAACAGGUGGCAGCCACCCAAACGUGCAUCAGCAGAGGAGUGGCAGACAAGAUGUGCGUGUCUGUGCAGUGGGCUGCUCAGUGGGAUGUGGGGCAGCUGCACGGUGGGGGGGGGGGGGCAGAUGGCGGGUUUCACACUUGGCCGAGUGAGGUUGGGGCUGCUAGGCCUGCUUAACUCAACCUCUAGCGAUGGGUGACUCACAGCCAGUUGCCUUAGAUCAGGGAAAUGGAAAAACACCAAGAAUGUUAAUAAAGAUUUUCCUUAGAACCUCCAUUAA